UACGUAGGGCGCAAGCGUUGUCCGGAAUUAUUGGGCGUAAAGAGCUCGUAGGCGGUUUGUCGCGUCUGCUGUGAAAACCGGAGGCUCAACCUCCGGCCUGCAGUGGGUACGGGCAAACUAGAGUGCGGUAGGGGAGAGUGGAAUUCCACGUGUAGCGGUGAAAUGCGUAGAGAUGUGGAGGAACACCAGUGGCGAAGGCGACUCUUUGGCCUGUAACUGACACUGAGGCGCGAAAGCGUGGGGAGCGAACAGG
rnacentral:rRNA from 1 species